rnacentral:rRNA from 1 species
GCAUAUCAAUAAGCGGAGGAAAAGAAACCAACAGGGAUUGCCCCAGUAACGGCGAAGUGAAGCGGCAACAGCUCAAAUUUGAAAUCUGGCUUCGGCCCGAGUUGUAAUUUGCAGAAGGAAGCUUUAGGCGCGGCACCAUCUGAGUCCCCUGGAACGGGGCGCCAUAGAGGGUGAGAGCCCCGUAGAGAUGGACGCCUAGCCUGUGUAAAGCUCCUUCGACGAGUCGAGUAGUUUGGGAAUGCUGCUCAAAAUGGGAGGUAAAUUUCUUCUAAAGCUAAAUACCGGCCAGAGACCGAUAGCGCACAAGUAGAGUGAUCGAAAGAUGAAAAGCACUUUGAAAAGAGGGUUAAAUAGCACGUGAAAUUGUUGAAAGGGAAGCGCUUGUGACCAGACUUGCGCCGGGCGGAUCAUCCGGUGUUCUCACCGGUGCACUCCGCCCGGCUCAGGCCAGCAUCGGUUCUCGUGGGGGGAUAAAGGCACCGGGAACGUAGCUCCUCCGGGAGUGUUAUAGCCCGGGGCGUAAUGCCCUCGCGGGGACCGAGGACCGCGCAUCUGCAAGGAUGCUGGCGUAAUGGUCACCAGCGACCCGUCUUGAAACACGGACCAAGGAGUCAAGGUUUUGCGCGAGUGUUUGGGUGUAAAACCCGCACGCGUAAUGAAAGUGAACGUAGGUGAGAGCUUCGGCGCAUCAUCGACCGAUCCUGAUGUUUUCGGAUGGAUUUGAGUAGGAGCGUUAAGCCUUGGACCCGAAAGAUGGUGAACUAUGCUUGGAUAGGGUGAAGCCAGAGGAAACUCUGGUGGAGGCUCGCAGCGGUUCUGACGUGCAAAUCGAUCGUCAAAUCUGAGCAUGGGGGCGAAAGACUAAUCGAACCAUCUAGUAGCUGGUACG